AUUGAACGCUGGCGGCAGGCCUAACACAUGCAAGUCGAACGAGUGGCGGACGGGUGAGUAAUGUCUGGGAAACUGCCUGAUGGAGGGGGAUAACUACUGGAAACGGUAGCUAAUACCGCAUACAAUUGGAUGUGCCCAGAUGGGCUUAGCUAGGAGGUGGGGUAAAGGCUCACCUAGGCGACGAUCCCUAGCUGGUCUGAGAGGAUGACCGGCCACACGGGAACUGAGACACGGUCCAGACUCCUACGGGAGGCAGCAGUGGGGAAUAUUGCACAAUGGGCGCAAGCCUGAUGCAGCCAUGCCGCGUGUGUGAAGAAGGCCUUCGGGUUGUAAAGCACUUUCAGCGGGGAGGCGUUACCCGCAGAAGAAGCACCGGCUAACUCCGUUCCAGCAGCCGCGGUAAUUC
rnacentral:rRNA from 1 species